AUAACCACCACCACUACUACUACUACUACUACUACUAUAACCAUUUUUUUUUCUUUUUUUUUUUACUACUACAUAAAUGAUACCUCCACCCAUGUUUAUUUUCCCGACACAUAAUCAUGGAGGGCUCCAUAGCUUGGAGGUCGUUAGCCCCAACUCAGUUCGCUAAUGACUGUGGCAUCCAACCAUAUUACUAAUACUACCUAGCACUAAAUCACCUAUCAUCUAUUACCUUUCCUUCCCUACUCAGUCACUCCCGACCUACCCUAAUGUCACUCUCCACCACUGUGGCUUCAUAGUCCAUAUUGGAGAUGUUGGUGGCUUUUACUACUACUACUACUACUACUACUACUACUACUACUACUACAACUACCACUUCUACUACUACUACUACUACUACUACUACUACUAUGACUACGACUACAAACCCAGACAUUAGGCAUCUAUAUAACUCUUAAUCAGAUAUACUCGUCUAUUAUUUACGAGCCUUCAACAGUUUAAGUAGGUAUUUAACAUUGUUUUUGAGUUCUGCCCUGAUAGCAUAAGCCCUUCAUAACCGGAUCUAAGCCUGCUAGCUCUUAUCGCACGUUCGAUAACACCAGUACCGAGAAAUGUGAUUAGUUUCUGAGUUCACUCCUAUGUAUUCCUCGUUCUGUCAUUCCUCUAUCCUCUGAGCCCUCGUCCACCCCCCUUCUCCUCCUCAUCAUCAUCAUCUAUCCCCUCAAUCCUUAUACGCCGCUUCUCCUCCUCUUCGUCCCCAUUGCUUUGAUCUUUGCUGCUACUACUACUACAACUACUACCACUUCUACUACUACUACUACUACUACUUCUACUACUACUACUACUUCUACUACUACUACAACUACUACUAUUACCACUACUACUACUGCUACACUAUAAAUAGUAAUGUUAAGGGUCAUACAACAAAGAACCCACAAUUGAUUAAUAGACCCCGACACGUGAGUUAUAGUUGUCUCUCUCUGAAUGAAUUCUCUUGCUUUUGCCAUAUUCUGAUGUGCGGGUUAAAUGACGAGUUAAUUGUUCAACAGUGCUUUAUUGCUCUUGAUGUAAUGUAGUGACUCAACAAUGAUUUAUUGCUCUUUGAUGUAACACGUAGUGACUUUCGUAUUCCUGCUUCUGUGAUUCUGAUGGUGUGUUCGUGUCAACAGGUUUUGACCGAAAAUGUAUUAAUCGAGUCGACGUGAAGGGUCUUCUUACUUACCACCUUACCGCCCCCACGGGCUCGCGGGGCUGAUGGCGGUAAGUCAAAACGUGGAUAUAUAAAACAGUGGUUCCCAACCUUUUUUUCAGGCGACCCCAAUUAUGCACCCCUAGACAUGUCCGUGACCCCUCUAGUUUAGUUGUAUAUGUGUUAUUAUAAUAUAAUAACACCAUGUUUGAUAUUUUGAAGUCUUGGCGACCCCAGGAAAAACGAUUGGUGAGCCCAUAAAGGCUCGAGACCCCAGGGUUGGGAAAGGGGCAACGCGAAGAGACGGUGCGGGCCCAGGACACAGGGCGAGGAUGAGGCGGACGGCGGACGCGUUGACGAGAAACAUCGGUGUUUGAUAGGUGUUGAUGGGGAUGCGAGUGUUCGGUGAUGUGACAAGUGUAACGACAAAAAACACAGGUGUUUGAUAGGUGUUGAUGGUAAUGCGCGUGAUUGGUGAUCGUGACGAUUUGAUGACGAGUUGAUGAGUGUAAAGAAAUACAUGUAUUAAUAGGUGUUGAUGGUAAUGCGGGUGUUUGGUGGUGGUGAUGUGACAAGUGUAACGGCAAGACACAAUACUGUGGUGUGUGGUAGGCGUUGAUGGAAUGCGAGUGAUUGGUGAUCGUGACAAGCGAUAAGUCUACGGAACGCCCAUGUCACGGUAAGCAGUAACAACACAGAUCAAGAUCCAAGGUCAAGAGAGUGCUAUCGUUUGCAGGCUGUCGGUGGAGACCGUACACAUGCACAGCUGUGAAGGUUUACCAAGAAACAAGAAAUAGAGUUAUCAUACUAGUGCCAAGAGGGAUUGCAAAGUAUAUUGUAAAGGGCAACGCCAGCACAUCGGACGACAAUUUAACGACGAUCGAGUGUGGCACGUGUGAGGUGUUUGACUAUGGAUAAUUCUUCUAAUGGGUAACCAUAAGAAAUAUAUGAAAAGAACCUCCAUUUUUGUUUUAUUUCAUGAUGACUAACAUUUGUUAUUUCCCAAUCCACUGAAAAAGUAGUUUGCAAGGAAACACAUAUCAUACAUGCCCCGCCACACAAUAAGCUAGGGGACCCGGGGCAAUACCUAAAUGAGUGUUACCUCAUGUAAUAAUCUGAUCAGUCUUGCCUGCAAUAUUUACCUCUGACAAAAUGAGCACUGCAGAGUCGAGAUGAAGCAGACGGCCGCCAGUUUUCCCUCCUCACAGCUGCAAUCCACUUCCCCCGCUCUUCUGGAUUCGCUGGAAAUCUAUAAAAUGACACAGCAUCUCUCCCGUGUCGGUUAGAACAUCCAACCGCACAGCAUACGUAUCCCAUGACGAACACACAGAGCACUUGUUUAGCCGCCACCAAGGUUUGCUUUGAUAAGUGACCACCGCCACUGACCACCAAGAUGGCCGUGCAGGCCCGCGCUACCCCCGCACCCCCACUGAUGACGUCAGCUGCAAAACUUCUAUAGACGAUGUAACAGUCAAAUAACGCGGAAAAUAAUUGUUUUGUGCGAAAUAUUGAGACUAGGUAACGAGUAUUUUUUUUCAUAAACCAAUAAAAAGCUAGUAGCUAGGGCAUAGAAAAAAUCAAUAAAUUAAUAACUUCGUAAUGAAGUGUUUUACCACGUGCUACUGCCACUCAGCGAGCGUUAAUGCAGAUUUGUUUUUACACAUAUGCCUCGGCCCUUGGGAAUUUUAAGAUGGCGGCUGCGGGGUUCAAGAUUUGCACGGAGUCAACCAAUCCAGUAUAUUAGAGAUCAGUGGUUCAACUCCAAUCUCUCGCCACGGUGAGAGGUGAAGCCACUGUUCCUGCCUGUAAACUCUGUGGUCGGCCGCCAUAAGGUGACGGAUUGGCGACCUUUCCAUGAUUCCACAUGUUUACACUUAAUCACUAUUAGCUAGCCACCAUUAUGAUAUUUUAGAAAACUGAACCGAUCAUCGUGUUGAUGAGACAUUGCUGCAUAUCAUGAUCACAAAUUUAUUGCACUUAAUUAUACCUACAAUAAAAUAAUGAGAAAAAAAUAUGGUAGUGUAUAAACAUUUUUGUUCACCAUUUUUGCUUCAACUCCUUGUCAUUAAUGUACUUUUAUUGUAUUAGAUUUUCGUUUAGUUUCAAAUGCAGCACAUUUUUUUUCCGAUUCAGAUGGUGUAUGACAUGUACCAAAGUAACAAUAAUCAGGGGGUAAAAAAUGAACAAGAAAAUAACAAGUCUAUCUGACAGAGGAUCGCCGAGGCGCUGGUAACUUGUACCAGACAUAACUAUUUGAUGUUAAAUUUAUGUCUCGCCAUCAGUCACCUUAAGAUGGCCGCCAGUUACUUCUAAAUCCAGGCUCUAGGAACCAUCUAUAUCUAUAGCUCUGUGGUCCAGACACUCACACCGCUUCCUCCUAGUUUUUGGCUUAAUAAUAGGUGACUAGCUAAAGGUUUGUACAGAAUUUAAAUAUAAAAUACUAUUCUGGUAUUAUUGUCUCAACGUAGUAGAACUUAAUUUAUGGUUUAUAAAUGUCUGUCAGUCCAAUGGCAAAUUUAAUCAGCAUCGGAUUAACCUAAAAGCUUACCUCAAUUAUGAUUCAACUUGCUCUGCCCGGUAAUUAAUAGCUAUUCGCUACUGCUAUGUGGGAUGUCAAAAAUUCUUACAGAAUUAAAAAAUUAUCCCAAACGGAAAAAAAACUUGUAUACCACAGCAGCUAGGCUUCUGAACACAACUGUCUGAACGUUUGUCAGCCGUUGUAUUACAUUUAUUGUCGAUCCCCGGGCCAAGCCACAAGGCUCAAGAGAGUCUAAAGACUAUAGACCGAUCUCAAAAUUUCACUGAAUAUAUUUUUGAUACACUAACCUCCUGGAACUGUUAAAAUUACUUGAUCGGUAAAUAACACGUGAUGAAGACAAUAAAAGCUUUUUUAUUAAUCUAUUGCUGUAAUGCAAAGGUAACAUGCAUCUUACAGUUAAGCUAAAAUAAGCAAUUCAAAUAUUAAGUGUAAAUUAAGAAGUGCUAGAACUGGAAUGAUAUAUCUAUGCAACCAUACAUAUCAUGAAGUGCACACAAGCAAUUCCUUUCUCAUACCAAGCUCAUUCCAUUUUGAGUUGACAGAGGUUAGGCCACACCUCUCCGGAGUCCUGAAUCUGCACAGUGCCUGCUAGAGUCAGCACAGCAAGCGUAGUUAUGUAUUUCUAGGGAGUGUCUUAUAUAGUUAAUAUCCUCUGCUUUGCUCUUAUCUUGUUAGCUCCUGGCUCAGGACUUUGAAGGGUUCUUGUUACCCGCAGUGCAGCAAUAAAAUAUGGGGAAGGAAUUUUCUGUGUUCUUCAACUCUUAAGUGCUGACUGGUAGCCGUGAUGUUCAGUCAAAACUACUUUAGAAGCCUGAUUCACAUAGAUUUACGCAGACACACAGACACUCAGACCCCAUGGUCCAGAGAGGGUUGUCUGUCCUUCAGUCUAAGUGAAAUCCUACUAAUGCCAUGAAGACUUUGCAUUUCGGCUUAAGAGAAUAUAAAGUUGAGGGAAGUUAAACUUGCUGCACAUUUUCUGUAUGAAUUAUGAUGCUUCAGAUUUUUUACUUUCAGGUAGUUUAAACUAAUUAAGGAAAAGGUUUGGCCCUCUCAAUAAACUCAAAUUUAAAUUAGCUUGUUGCAGAUAACAUUUAAAUAUAAAUUAGGGUUAUUAUUUUAAAGAAAUUUUGAUUAAUGAGUUUGGCUUGCUAAACUGAUUCAGAAUCAAAUGAUCAUAAUGCAAAUGGCACUUUUCUGUAUAAAUUGUAUUUAAAUCACUUUUUACUUUCGUAUAAUUCUGAUCAAUGAAACUCUGGCCCUUUCAAUAACACUCAGAAUGCAAUGAGCAAGUUGCAGAUGACACACACUGAUUCCAUUCAGCUCUUGCACAACAGUCACCACAAACUGAUGCUGGUGGUCAGCGCCUCAGCAUGAUAGCUCCCUCCCGGCCCAAAGUUGGGGUUUUGUGAGAAGGGUUUUCAAGUGUAGCCAUUGUCAUAAAUUAACCCUAAAGUGUACACAAAUACAAUAUAGAAUUUUACUUUCCUAAACGUUUUAUAACAGCAUAUAGCCAAACACACCCCUGCAGGGUGCAUUUGUGGUCAUUAGUGAUGAAAAUAAUAGGAGAGAGAAGUCAUCAGAGUAUGGACAGACGAGUCGCUCUGACAAACUGUCUACAUCAUAAUUCUUGCAUCUUAAGGGGUUGCCAUAUAUUUUUCCCCCACUUUUUUUUUGCAUUCUGUUGAUAAAAAUUCUUUACAUUCAUUUAAUUGUCACAAAAGUUUGGAGUGACUAUUUUAUAUUUUUUAAGAAGUGAAAAAUCUUCAUAAACUGAGGUGAAGAUGUCAACAGUUGCAAACUGCAUGACUUCAUGGGAGGUUCAUGUUAAGACCUCAGCUAACCAUCUGAGCACAGCAUCCUAUCCCAGCAGCACUGACCCUAACUAAGAGAAAAACACUGGUUAAGUUUUACACAUUAUAACUUCAACAGACUACAUCACAGAGCCUAAGGUGUAGGGUAUUCAGUACCACUACAGAAGCUGAUCUGCUUCCCCAACACAAGGAAGGGAGGAAGCCAAAGCAAGGAACUGUUUACAUUUACACCAACACAGAGCUGAAUUGACGGUUCUGUUUCUGUGCUCUCUAGUAAAGGUUCAGAAAUCCAUUAGUUCAAUCAUAACUAGAGCUAGUAGGUCUAGCUGACCUUCCUGUCACUGCAACAGGUGCCAAGCUUCAGUGCUCAGACACCCGAGGAGAGUCUCCACAUCCUCCCGGGCCGUAACGUGGCACUGCCUCACCACAAGCCCGGCACGCUGCACCCACGACAGCAGUACAGGCAAGGCUGGCACGAUGCAGCCAAUGCUGCCACCAGGAAUAAGCCAACAGAGCCACACACCAGUGGUCUCAGAAGGGUGCCUUCCUGCUGUCUGGGGGAGGAGGGGGCACGAAAUCUUUGCCUUUAACUAAUGUCACCGAACACACAAGGCAGCGAGCAAUGUUAUUAAAUAACUUCAAGGGCAGCAGAACACUGAAAAUACAGACUCAAGACAGGCCAUCAAUGCCUGACACAUCUGCUCCAAGGAAGAAUGUGACUUGCACCUCAUAUAGAGGGUAGAGGGACAGCCACUGCUGCCCACAACACAAUUCUUUGAACUCCAUCUUAUGGAGUUCAAAGAACUGGGUGAGACUGAUCUACUUAUCACAAAAUCAGUUGAUAAGUUAGAAAUAAUCCUUAAAUUCUAGGAUUAUUUAGCCUCUGUUCCAAGAUUGCCACACAAAAUUCAGGCCACUGAACUGUAGAGUGGUCAAUGCCUUGCACACACACUGUUCCUGGGCAGUGGUGUGGCACAGGCAUGGCAUGGCCACAAUGCUCUACUUUGCAACAUGACAUUUUUAUACUGUUUUCCACUGAAAAGUGUUUAGAGGUGGUGGGCUUAGCUUGAAGACGACUCAGGGAGGCAAGGCACAAGUGCUCAAAGAACAGCCACUGACUCUGUAAGUGAUGUGUCACUUUGAACCACUUCUACCAUGACCAAAAUUAAUUAAUGUUUGUCCCCCUGGUAACUGCCUGCCUUCCAGUUCUUCACCGCCCACCUCGGUGCUUUUUGCUGCUCACUUCUGGAAAGCAUCAGUGUCUUGGAGCAGCAAGCAACCCACCUCUUCUACAUGUACGUAUAUAACAUAAUAGCAAAAUCAGGGCUUCAAGCUUGAGUCAAACCUUAUUCAAACACUCAUGAAGGAAUCUUAUCUGAUGUCAUUUUUCAUGGAUAUAUUAUUCACUGGUAUUACAUCAUAUGAAGAUUUUGCCUAGUUGAAUUUUCAUCUUUCAAAUUGCAACAGCAUGUUGCACUGAACAACACACAACUUCAGUCUUACGAGGAGUGCUGGAUGCAGAGCUCGACACUGCCUGGAGAUGUCAAGCCUUGGCAGUGGAGGUUGUUUACCUUCCUCAUGGUGUCUCGUUUGAAUAAUGUCAUGUCACAGUCUUUCCACCCAACGCGUUAGAACGUAAAGCAAGUUGAUGACGGAGUUUAACACAUGAUGACAUUUCAACAAUAAAACAUAAUGCAUCAGAAACAGCUCCCACUAGCCAAACAGCAUUCAGGAGUACUGUGGUUUGCCAGGGAGGCAGAGGUGAAGUGGUUCCUUGUUUCAGCCUUUCUGUUGACUCAUUGUUUGCUAAUAGUUAUACACACGAGACUGUGGGACCUGAGGGUACAAGCUGUCAUGAUUCCUGGUCUUUUGUGGCUGGAUGAUGAGUCUCCUGAGCAAGUGGGUUCCUCAGGGUGUUUGGUGUUAUCAGAUGGGUCAGGAGAGGCUUUCUUGUGCUUUAAGUGUGUGUGUGUGUGUGUGUGUGUGUGUGUGUGUGUGUGUGUGUGUGUGUGUGUGUGUGUGUGUGUGUGUGUGUGUGUGUGUGUGCUCUCA